rnacentral:rRNA from 1 species
UAGGGAAUUUUUCACAAUGGGCGAAAGCCUUAUGAAGCAAUGCCGCGUGAACGAUGAAGGUCUUAUAGAUUGUAAAGUUCUUUUAUAUGGGAAGAAACGCUAAGAUAGGAAAUGAUUUUAGUUUGACUGUACCAUUUGAAUAAGUAUCGGCUAACUAUGUGCCAGCAGCCGCGGUAAUACAUAGGAUGCAAGCGUUAUCCGGAUUUACUGGGCGUAAAACGAGCGCAGGCGGGUUUGUAAGUUUGGUAUUAAAUCUAGAUGCUUAACGUCUAGCUGUAUCAAAAACUGUAAACCUAGAGUGUAGUAGGGAGUUGGGGAACUCCAUGUGGAGCGGUAAAAUGCGUAGAUAUAUGGAAGAACACCGGUGGCGAAGGCGCCAACUUGGACUAUCACUGACGCUUAGGCUCGAAAGCAUGGGUAGCGAACAGG